rnacentral:sRNA from 1 species
AAUACUUGUAAUUAGAUAAAUAUAAAUACACCGAUACAAAGUAAUGGUAUUUUGAUAGGGGAAUACCAUAUGUUCCACCCAUAAAAAUUAGUUUUGAGUUGAUAACAACUAGAUUUAUUAUAUUCUCGAUAUUGUACAACUAUGAGCAAAAAUGUGCAACCGAGUACAACUGUACAACUAUGGGCAAUAUAUUUUUCAGAUAUUUAUAGAUAUUUUUUAGAUAUUUGUAGAUAUUUUAUAAUAAAAAUUAGCUUUAUUUUUUUGUGAUAAAAAUAUUUAGUUUAUUUUUUGUCAUCAAAAUA